rnacentral:lncRNA from 12 species
AGAAUUAAUUAUCAAUGAAUGUUCAGGUGCUGUAUUUACUUUUUAAAAAUUAACACAAGAAGCACCCACACAAUUUUUUUUCCUUGAAAAGUUGAAGCAGGAGAAGGUUUGUUCACAAAAUAUACACAAUAUGACCUUAUGAACUUGUAGGAGGUAGAUGCUCUUAGCUUCCUUCACAAGCUUAGAGGAUUACCUGCAUGAUACUGGACAUAAUUCACAUUUCAUUGCAUAUGACACAUGCAAGAAAUUGACACAAAGUGUCCUCACCCUCUCAACCACAGGGAGAACAAAAGUUCCAGAUGACCCUACUGAAGAGAAGCUCAUGAUGUACACUUGGGAAAUUCUCAGCAAGGGCCUCUAA